GGAAACCUACCUCUUAGCGAGGGGAAUAACUAUUUUAGGAAACAAAUGCUAAUACCGUAUAAUAAUUAAAACCGCAUUGGUUUUAGUUUAAAAGAUGGUCUUGCUAUCACUAAGAGAUGGUCCCGCGGUGUUAUUAGUUUAGUUGAUGAGGUAAUGGCUCACCAAGACAAUGAUACAUAGCCGAGUUGAGAGACUGACCGGCCACAAUGGGACUGAGACACGGCCCAUACUCCUACGGGAGGCAGCAGUAGGGAAUCUUCCACAAUGGACGAAAGUCUGAUGGAGCAACGCCGCGUGUGUGAUGAAGGGUUUCGGCUCGUAAAACACUGUUGUAAGAGAAGAAUGACAUUGAGAGUAACUGUUCAAUGUGUGACGGUAUCUUACCAGAAAGGAACGGCUAAAUACGUG
rnacentral:rRNA from 1 species